CCUACGGGGGGCAGCAGUGAGGAAUAUUGGUCAAUGGCCGAGAGGCUGAACCAGCCAAGUCGCGUGAGGGAAGACGGCCCUAUGGGUUGUAAACCUCUUUUGUCGGGGAGCAAAGCCAGCCACGUGUGACUCUUGUAGAGUACCCGAAGAAAAAGCAUCGGCUAACUCCGUGCCAGCAGCCGCGGUAAUACGGAGGAUGCGAGCGUUAUCCGGAUUUAUUGGGUUUAAAGGGUGCGUAGGCGGAGGUGCAAGUCAGCGGUAAAAUUGCGGGGCUCAACCCCGUACUGCCGUUGAAACUGCAUCUCUUGAGUGCGCGAGAAGUAUGCGGAAUGCGUGGUGUAGCGGUGAAAUGCAUAGAUAUCACGCAGAACUCCGAUUGCGAAGGCAGCAUACCGGCGCUCAACUGACGCUGAGGCACGAAAGCGUGGGGAUCGAACAGGAUUAGAUACCCUAGUAGUC
rnacentral:rRNA from 1 species